CCUACGGGUGGCAGCAGUGGGGAAUAUUGCACAAUGGGGGAAACCCUGAUGCAGCGACGCCGCGUGAGUGAAGAAGUAUUUCGGUACGUAAAGCUCUAUCAGCAGGGAAGAAAAAAAGUCCUUUGGACUUUGGACGGUACCUGACUAAGAAGCCCCGGCUAACUACGUGCCAGCAGCCGCGGUAAUACGUAGGGGGCAAGCGUUAUCCGGAUUUACUGGGUGUAAAGGGAGCGUAGACGGCAGCGCAAGGCUGGAGGUAAAAGCCGGGGCCCAACCCCGGAACUGCUUUGGAAACUGGGCAGCUGGAGAGGAGGAGAGGUAUGCGGAAUUCGUAGUGUAGCGGUGAAAUGCGUAGAUAUUAGGAGGAACACCAGUGGCGAAGGCAGCUUACUGGACGGUAACUGACGUUGAGGCUCGAAAGCGUGGGGAGCAAACAGGAUUAGAUACCCCUGUAGUC
rnacentral:rRNA from 1 species